GUCUCUUUCUAUCGUGAAGCAGGAUAUAAGAAAAUUUCUUAUUUAACCCUUAUUAGUUCAGUUCCUUUAGUUCUCGCCACUCUUUGCUAUUUUAUGGUCAUGUUUACUUUUCCUGGAAGCCCAGCUCUAACUUUAUUAGGCGUUACUAAUAGUUCAAUAAUUAAUGAGGAACAAAUUAAUUAUAGAGAUUGGUGCUUGACUUGUGAGACUUGCAAACCUCCUCGAACACAUCACUGUAGCCGUUGUGAAAAGUGUAUUCUUCGGAUGGACCAUCAUUGCAUUUGGGUGCACAACUGCAUCGGAAAUAAUAAUUAUAAAAUUUAUUGCUUAAUGCUUUUU